rnacentral:lncRNA from 1 species
UUAGAGCUGAAGCUUGUCAGAGUUCUCAUAACAAAUGCGUGAUUGAACUAAAUUCCAACCUGCCGCCUCUGGCGUUGGAGACUUACAGCACCUCAGUGCAUUCAUGGGGUGUGCUCUACCCUCUACCUUCGUGAUUUAUUUAAAGACCAAAUAUAAUGAAUAACAAUUCUUAGGCUUAAACCUAUAGCAGGCGUAGGAAAUAGUUCAAACCUUCUGACAUACAUGAACAAAUGCAAUCUUCAAAAACUACUGUUUUUGAAUCUGCGUGAAUGUACUGAACUCGUUGCUACCUUCAUUUAAAUGUGAUGUAUCAAAAGUGCUUUGUAAACUGUUAAAUUCCAAUGUUGACAUUGUUAUAGACACACUUUAUUAAAUACUGGAUGAUGAUUUUAUAAAGUACAGGGUUUUUAGCUGUGAAAUUAUUCUAAAAUAUGUAGACAAAAUUUUGAAUAAUCUUCCCAUUUUGAACACAAUGAUUGGUUUUAAAAUUCCCUUGAUUUAUAUGUUUGUAUACUGUGGAUUCUCAAUUGAGUGAAUUAGUGUCUUUGCAAUAUAGUAAGAUUUUGGUACAGUUUUUUUUUUUUAACUCAUCCACUUUAUUUUAUUUAUUUUUUUUCACUUUCUCUUUCUUUUUUUUAUUAUUAUACUUUAUGUUUUAGGGUACAUGUGCACAUUGUGCAGGUUAGUUACAUAUGUAUACAUGUGACAUGCUGCUGCGCUGCACCAACUAACUCGUCAUCUAGCAUUAGCAUUAGGUAUAUCUCCUAAUGCUAUCC